GAUGAACGCUGGCGGCGUGCCUAAUACAUGCAAGUCGAGCGAACAGACGAGGAGCUUGCUCCUCUGACGUUAGCGGCGGACGGGUGAGUAACACGUGGAUAACCUACCUAUAAGACUGGGAUAACUUCGGGAAACCGGAGCUAAUACCGGAUAAUAUAUUGAACCGCAUGGUUCAAUAGUGAAAGACGGUUUUGCUGUCACUUAUAGAUGGAUCCUCCCCGCAUUAGCUAGUUGGUAAGGUAACGGCUUACCAAGGCAACGAUGCGUAGCCGACCUGGGAGGGGGAUCGGCCACACUGGAACUGAGACACGGUCCAGACUCCUACGGGAGGCAGCAGUAGGGAAUCUUCCGCAAUGGGCGAAAGCCUGACGGAGCGACGCCGCGUGAGUGAUGAAGGUCUUCGGAUCGUAAAACUCUGUUAUUAGGGAAGAACAAAUGUGUAAGUAACUAUGCACGUCUUGACGGUACCUAAUCAGAAAGCCACGGCUAACUACGUGCCAGCAGCCGCCGCCG
rnacentral:rRNA from 1 species